CCUGCUGGUAACUCCCUCCAAGUCAGCAGUAUAGGUUGGGGCGGGGGUGAGACAAGAACGAAGCAACGUCAGCAGUAGCUCAGAAUGGCAGCUGGGACAGUAUUAAUCCAGACACCACGCCCGCUACAUCUCUCCAGUCACCACGCCACCACCGACCCCUCGAGUGUACGCAGCCCAGUGUCCGUCUGUGUCUUGUCGUGGGCGUGACGUUCAGCAGCGGCAGGAACAGCAACGGGAACCUUGAUCUGCGUCAGUUUUCGUGCGGCGGGGUGACGUGCCGCUGCUGUGAGGUUAUCGGACCACACCACACCACAGCACAGCACAGCACAGAGGAAGGAGAGGCGUUGACGAUCCAAAGGCCUGACUCCACAGCGGUAAUGAGCCUCGUCUACCUUGCACUUAACGGACAAUGCUCACUACCACCUCUGCCUCCGCCACCGCCGCUGCCGCCGUUGAGGGAGACUGGCUGGAUGAGUGGGUGAGGUGUGGUGAGGCGGAGGAUUGGAGACGAGAACCUACAGAUGACGGCAGACACGGAAGAUUCCACUUACCAGGAGUUGGUGAUCUGAAGCCAUGACUGCAGCGAUCCCAUGCGUCCUGCACCAUCAGGGAAGGACUCUUUGGCUUCGCACUGCGCCUACAUUGACCGUUGCCGUUGCCGCUGCUACCGCUACUCGGAGGGGCACUGCCUCGCAUUGGGCCUUCACUGCCGUCCCGCUAAUACACGUGCCGCCGUCGCCGCUACUGGCACUGAGGGACUUCGCCUCGCAGCGGCCUGGCAAACACCUGCUACACCACCACCACCACCACCACCACCGGAGUCCAGAGAUUCAGCUUCGCAUAGCAGACAUCCUCCUAUUCAACGCUUGCUGCCACUACCACCUCAUUAUUGUGGUGUCACUGUACUUGAAGCUUGGAUCUGUUGUCUCUACUGAAUAAUAAAGUGUAAAGAAAU